GGGGAUGUAGCUCAGUGGUAGAGCACUUGCCUAGCAAGCAUAAGGCCCUGGGUUCAGUCCCUUGCACCCG
rnacentral:tRNA from 1 species